AAUCACACCAGUUUCAAUUACUUUGGUAAUUUAUUUCAAAAUACCUGUCAGCAACUAUGUCUGUAACAAUACAUACACAAAAAAAUUCUCCCAGGAGUGGAGAGUUGAAGAAAUCCCUAACCACCCACUUUCUG